rnacentral:rRNA from 1 species
UAUUCUGGUGUCCUAGGUGUAUAGGAACCACACCAAUCCAUAUUGACCUUGGUGGUGAAACUAUACUGCGGUUACGAUACUGUGGGGGGGGCCCACGGAAAAUAGUUAGAUGCCAGAAU